rnacentral:lncRNA from 1 species
AAGGGACCAACUAACUAAAAUGAAAAAUUAAAUUAAAAGGGACCAACUAAUAUAUAAGAUUUAUAUAACCACAAAAUAUUCAUGACUAUUGAAAUUCUUUCAAUACUAAUAAAAAAAAACGUGUGUCUCUUCAUUGCAUAGUUAAUUGGUUCCUAAAUGAAAAAUUUAAUUAAAAGGGACCAAUAUAACCACAAAAUAUAUUCUUUCAAUACUAAGAAAGAAAAAAAAAGUGUCUAAGACUAUUGGAAUUCUCUUCAUUUCAUAGUUAAUUGGUCCCUAAAUGACAAAUGAAAAAUUUAAUUAAAAGGGACCGACUAUCGAUAUCGAUUUAUACAUAUCCAUUAGAAUUAUCAAAAAUUGGAUGGAUUUUCAAAAGAAAUUGGAUGUGGCACUCUAUAAAAAAAGUUUACAAUCUCUAUUA